CCAAAUAGAGCCGGUUCCAAUCGUUCACUUCAAAGAGCCGGCUCUUAGAGCCGGAUCGUUCGCGAACGACACAUCACUAGAAGCUAAGAGUUGUGCUGUGAAAGAGAGAGAGAUAAGAGAAAAUGGACGAUUAAAAAGUCUACCUGCUGACUGGAAACCUUUUCCAUUCUUCGGAGGAGGAGCUUUCCGCAUUUUUUUACUGACUGCGUUCGGAGUGUUAUAUGUUACAGAACUGGACUUGGCCUUUUAAGGUUCUGCUGGAAAUUGGACCGGGAAAUUCCGAGUCGAUUGCUGAGUUGGAUUCCGCUAGUGAGAAACAAGAUGGCGAGCCGUAACCCAGGAGCCCUGUAACCGCCGUCUAGCAGGAGCUACGCCCUCUGCUGGACAUUGCAAUUCAUCCAAACUGGUAUGACCUGCCCAUGUUUUCAUGCUGAAAUAGCACUGGAUUCAGAGAAACGGGAUUAACCCUUCAGGAUCAUCAGAAAGA